UUAAUUGCCAGUGGGUGAAAUGGUGAAACUGCAAAAACCUACGGGAAUAUGACGUGAGCUUUUAAUGCAAUCUCAGCAAGUACCAGCACCAGCGAUUUACUUAAAUAAAUAAGUAAGCAUAUUCAUUUUAACUAAACCUUAACUUUUUAUUUUAUUCAUUCGUAUGAAAUGGGGCGUGAUUUCCCAUGCACGUAUCUUACAGCCCAUCAGUUCAUAGUUCAUACGGUUCAUACGAUACGCUGUCAUGGAUAUUGUUUGUGUUUUUUAAGGAAGUUGAGUACUUUUAAUAAGGGGUGUAUUUUUUGUAGAAGUCAAUUCAAAGUUAAUACGAUGGGAGGAUAAAAAUUUAAGUGGCUAUUUGGAAAUAGUUUUUCCUUGACGACUUUACGAAUAACGUUUGAAGUGACCGCGCUAGAAUGGCUGCAGGCUAGAGUUGCUGUCAUGCUAUUUCGUCUCAAGACAAUCCCUCGAGAAGAAAACUGGUUUUAGGAACGGAUGUCUUCCUGUAGAAAAGAAAAAUAUAAUAUCUGAUUUCCCUAUGCUAUUUCACGUUUCGGAAAGAAAAAGCUAGGAAAUGUCAAUUACUAUAAAAUUUUAAAAUACGUACGUGAUAUUUCCCUUCGAGAAGAGAAUGCCUUUUUUAUAUUUUUAUGUCAUCUUAUUAUUCUCAUAUUAUUAAGGGAAAUUACUUGGCGGAACUUGGCGCCAAACAAUUUUGAAUUCGAGUCUUUACGGAUGCAAAAGAUAGCGCUACCGGACUGUGGCAAAUCUCAGCAGCAAAAGCAAGGGUGGGGACGGGGGUCAAAUCUCCUACAUUCUAUUUCAAAUGCAAUUUAAAACAGAAUUUGUGAAUAAAGUAGAUGCAAGCUGCCUACUCGGGCCUCGGGGCCUGUAUAUGCCUCUAAAUUCUAAAAGAUAGGAGGAAGAGCGGCAUGCAUGGGAAAUCAAACCUUCAAUACCCACAAGCAUGAAUAUUGAAGUAGGCAUUUUACUUAGGGAUUGUGUUUUCAAACUAUCCUAAAACUUUCAACUAUUUCGAAAUGAACACAAAAUUGCUGUAACAGAAAUGCUAGUUUAUCUUUUUCCUUCUUGUUCGUUUUCAAUCUAGUCGGGUUGAAGGUCAAUUAUUUAAAAAAAAAACGGGUUGGUAAUUCUGAAGGUGAAAGAUAAAAUACUAAAUUUCGAAAUGACAUAGUGGCACCUGAGUAAGCACAACAACUCUUGAAAAGUUUAAGCAUUUCAUCUUAUUCUAUCCGUUGAG